rnacentral:rRNA from 1 species
AGCAGCCGCGGUAAUUCCAGCUCCAAUAGCGUAUAUUAAAGUUGUUGCAGUUAAAAAGCUCGUAGUUGAAUUUCGGGGAUCAGAUUGUCGGUCGUGCCUCGGUACGUACUGGCAUUAUUGGUUCCUACCUUCUGAAGAACCGCGAUGUCAUUAAUUUGGUGUCGUGGGGAAUCAGGACUGUUACUUUGAAAAAAUUAGAGUGUUUAAAGCAGGCGCACGCUUGAAUACAUUAGCAUGGAAUAAUGAAAUAGGACGUUUGAUUCUAUUUUGUUGGUUUCUAGGAUUGACGUAAUGAUUAAUAGGGAUAGUUGGGGGCAUUAGUAUUCAAUUGUCAGAGGUGAAAUUCUUGGAUUUAUUGAAGACUAACUACUGCGAAAGCAUUUGCCAAGGAUGUUUUCAUUAAUCAAGAACGAAAGUUAGGGGAUCGAAGACGAUCAGAUACCGUCGUAGUCUUAACCAUAAACUAUGCCGACUAGGGAUCGGAUGAUGUUAAUUUUUAAUGACUCAUUCGGCGCCUUAA